UACAGAGGGUGCAAGCGUUAAUCGGAAUUACUGGGCGUAAAGCGCGCGUAGGUGGUUUGUUAAGUUGGAUGUGAAAGCCCCGGGCUCAACCUGGGAACUGCAUUCAAAACUGACAAGCUAGAGUAUGGUAGAGGGUGGUGGAAUUUCCUGUGUAGCGGUGAAAUGCGUAGAUAUAGGAAGGAACACCAGUGGCGAAGGCGGCUCUCUAGUACGGUACUGACGCUGAGACGCGAAAGCGUGGGGAGCGAACAGG
rnacentral:rRNA from 1 species